rnacentral:rRNA from 1 species
AUUGAACGCUGGCGGCAUGCCUUACACAUGCAAGUCGAACGGUAACAGGUUAAGCUGACGAGUGGCGAACGGGUGAGUAAUAUAUCGGAACGUGCCCAGUCGUGGGGGAUAACUGCUCGAAAGAAGCAGCUAAUACCGCAUACGACCUGAGGGUGGAAAGACGGGGGAGUCGCAAGACCUCGCGCGAUUGGAGCGGCCGAUAUCAGAUUAGGUAGUUGGUGGGGUAAAGACCACCAAGCCAACGAUCUGUAGCUGGUCUGAGAGGACGACCAGCCACACUGGGACUGAGACACGGCCCAGACUCCUACGGGAGGGCAGCAGUGGGGAAUUUUGGACAAUGGGCGCAAGCCUGAUCCAGCCAUGCCGCGUGC